GUUGUCCCUCCAGUGUCUGGGAAAAACAAUCCACUGUAAGAUUGGUGGCAUGUGGGAGGUACUCUGUCUUGAGAGUGAUUUUGCGACUGAAGCAGAAACGAUAAAUAUUUUUUGUGCCCUACCAGAGAGCUUGUGAGUGUGCCCUGCCUAGGGAGUUUAUGUACUGGUCAGCGGAGAUAUUGUCCAUCUGUACUCUGUGAGGUCCCUUGCCAAGCUGCUAAUGGCAAAGAAUCCUUUG